UAGGGAAUCUUCCACAAUGGGCGAAAGCCUGAUGGAGCAACGCCGCGUGUGUGAUGAAGGGUUUCGGCUCGUAAAACUCUGUUGUUAAAGAAGAACAUAUCUGAGAGUAACUGUUCAGGUAUUGACGGUAUUUAACCAGAAAGCCACGGCUAACUACGUGCCCG
rnacentral:rRNA from 1 species